AUUGAACGCUGGCGGCAUGCCUUACACAUGCAAGUCGAACGGCAGCACGGGAGCAAUCCUGGUGGCGAGUGGCGAACGGGUGAGUAAUAUAUCGGAACGUGCCCAGUCGUGGGGGAUAACGCAGCGAAAGCUGUGCUAAUACCGCAUACGAUCUAAGGAUGAAAGCGGGGGAUCGCAAGACCUCGCGCGAUUGGAGCGGCCGAUAUCAGAUUAGCUGAGUUGGUGGGGUAAAGGCCCACCAAGGCGACGAUCUGUAGCUGGUCUGAGAGGACGAACAGCCACACUGGAACUGAGACACGGUACAGACUCCUACGGGAGGCAGCAGUGGGGAAUUUUGGACAAUGGGCGCAAGCCUGAUCCAGCAAUGCCGCGUGCAGGAUGAAGGCCUUCGGGUUGUAAACUGCUUUUGUACGGAACGAAACGGCCCUUUCUAAUACAGGGGGCUAAUGACGGUACCGUAAGAAUAAGCACCGGCUAACUACGUGCCAGCAGCCGCAGUAACAC
rnacentral:rRNA from 1 species